UACGGGGGGGGCUAGUGUUAUUCGGAAUGACUGGGCGUAAAGGGCAUGUAGGCGGUUCAUUAAGUUGAAAGUGAAAUCCCAAAGCUUAACUUUGGAACUGCUUUCAAAACUGAUGGACUAGAGUUCGAGAGAGGAUAGUGGAAUUUCUAGUGUAGAGAUAAAAUUCAUAAAUAUUAGAAGGAACACCAGUGGCGAAGGCGACUAUCUGGAUCGAUGGCCCAGUAACGGGCAGACUGACGCUGAGGUGCGAAAGCAUGGGUAGCAAACGGG
rnacentral:rRNA from 1 species